UCUUCCCCUAGAUGAAUUGUAGGUGUGGUUACUAUAUCACAUAUGCAUCAGUAGGUGUCAGAUAAGAGAGAAGUUAGGUCUAUGCUGUGUUCUGACCUGUGAACAAGCAAAUGAUUAGUAGCCCUACAUU
ensembl:snoRNA Gm24244 small nucleolar RNA SNORA17